rnacentral:rRNA from 1 species
GACAGAGGGUGCAAACGUUGUUCGGAAUUACUGGGCGUAAAGCGAGUGUAGGCGGUCUGACAAGUCGGGUGUGAAAGCCCCGGGCUCAACCCUGGAAUUGCCUCCGAGACUGAUGGACUCGAGUUCGGGAGAGGAGAGCGGAAUUCCCAGUGUAGAGGUGAAAUUCGUAGAUAUUAGGAAGAACACCAGUGGCGAAGGCGGCCAACUGGCCCGAUACUGACGCUCAUGUGCGAAAGCGUGGGGAGCAAACAGG